rnacentral:lncRNA from 1 species
AGCUCACUCUCCUUCUACUAACUCACCUCAAUGGCACCUCAGGGAGAUCGCCUCGCUGAUAUUGGAAGGGAGGGUUUUGCACUACUAGACAUAUUUUAUGGUGGAGGAAAAUCAGGUCCAGCACCGAAGAAGCCAUGCAAUGUCCCACAGCAGCAUGCUCCCAUUCCCAACAACAAGAACAUAAUCGAUAGCGAGAAGGCCGCCGAAAGAUACAAAGGAGUGGUGGUCGUGGAGUCCCGCAAGAAGAAGAGGUUUGCCUGCUGAUGUUUUUAGGUUCUAGCGCUGUAACCGGAUGAACAAGUCCACGUCACUGUUUUCGUCAUACCAGUCAUUUCAAACUCUAGUACUGUGUUUUUUUAAUUUAUUUUAUUUUAAACUUUUGUUUUCUGGCCUUCUGAAGUUUAGCUGUGCACUAGGAUGUGUCUAAGCUAGUAAUUGGACUUGGGUUAUACUAAACACCCCGCGUUUUAUUCCUGUUUAGUUAGAAUAUCUAUGAUAUAACUAUUUACUUGAUUGGCGUGAAAAGAAUAUUCCAAUCGUUUCGACAGUGGAUGAUCACAACUUAAAUAACUUGCCAAAAACUAUCCUAGAACUACGUGGCCCAUUUAACACUCUGGUUCCAUUCUUGAGAUGCUCCUGCAUGAUUCAGUUCCUAAUAUUGACUAAGAUUUGAUAAAUACUUGCUGAAGCCGGAUCAUCCAAUUACGCAAGAUUCGGUUGUACAUCUAGCAAGCGCUUGCAACAUAUUGCAACAUAUAACUACACAGAUGGACCAUUCUUUGAUUUAUUGGUGCAAUUGCAUUUUUUUUCUUGUCUAGGAUGCUAACUAUUCUCUAGGAUCAAAAGUCACUAUUAUUGUAGUCGAGAAAUAUGUCCUCUAACUUCCAAGAUAUGCCAUCAAUUAUUCAGCUCCUAUUCAUAAAUUACAAGUAGCAAUCAUAAAAUAUCAGAGAUCCGCAUGUCAACAAGCAAAAGCUUCGACCAAAAAAAAAAAAAAAAACAAGCAAAAGCACGACCUUUACUUUUAGUGAAUUUAAAAGUGGUUCAUCUUAACCAACAGAACGAAAAGAAUAAAUGAAGGGGGACUCAUGAUGCACAUGUGAGGUUAACUCUGGGUGUCUCAGCUCAAAUACGCGUAGAUCUAAUUUUUAAGGCUCACGGAUUUCUCUUAAUUAUAAAGCAGUGCGCGUAAUCACUUUAGCAUGCUUUUUGGAUCCACUUUUGACUAGAAAGUUGGAAUUUAAACUUUUUUGCGUUGAUGAAGUUUCUCCGAUCUGUUGGUACCUGGUGGUGUGCAGAUGAAGGUUAGUAUGUGGCUACAAGCAGAAUAAUUAAGCUCUUGAAGAGAGAAUCAUUUGACUGGGAGGUUGUGAUAAGAGAAUCUUAAAACACUCAGAAAAGUUUCCACCGAGAGACGAUCAAUUUAAUGAAGCAAUAGAGUUGUUCCAGGCAUGCCAAACCGCUUUUACAUCCCUCCAAAAUCACCGAAGAUCUGAACCUAGAAAUUACAAGUACCAAAACAAGUGAUUCAGCUGCCGCUUGCUCCUCUCCUUGCAUGACGGCCGGAGGAUUCUUUAGAUGAGUCGAGCUGCUAAACAUGGCUCAGCACAAACUCGUUUCCUCAAUUUCGCUCAAUUUGGAUUGUGGCUAUUAUAGUGGGUUUAGCUCACUAAAAAGCAAUGUUGUCACUACAAAUAGGAUUGUACCUCUUAAAUCUCAUGAGCAGAUGCAUUAUGACCUUACACUGCUAAGAAAACUUAUUGAGAUCCCUUGAAGAAAAAAAUCACGUUGAGUGUACAAAAUAAUUGAUAAUUAAAAGAUUGGAGAGCCGCUUUUAAAAACUAGCAAGAUCAACUAGGGAUCGAUAUAUUAGGCAAUAGGGGUUUAGCUUGAAAUUCGAUGAGUUAAUUACGUUGGAAUCAUUCUUUCACAUUUUCUUUUACAUAGACUAACCUUUAUUAAUGUUUUUUGGGACUUAACCAACCAAAAAAAAAAAAAACAAAAAAAAAAUUAGUGCAUACUUUGUGGAAGCCCAUCGGGAGGGAAAAGUACCAAAAAAGUCAUAAACCUAUUGCAUUGGUACCAAUUUAAUCCUAAACUUUUUAAUUGGACCAAUUCAGUUAUAAACCUUUUUAUAUUGAUACCAAUUCAGUCCAUUCGGCCAAUUUUGGCCUGCCAGUGCUAACAUGGACAUCGGUCGAUGAUCGGACACUGACAUGGCAAUUUUUAAUUUUUUUUUUGAAUUUUUUCCUUUUUCUUUUCUUCCUUCUUUCUCCUUGGAUUGUUUUGACGGUGGACGGCGAGCCGUCAGCCAGGGUCGCGGCCCUCGCCUAGCCUCUCCUAAGGCUAUGGGCGAGGCCAGGCGAGGGCUGCGAUCCUCACUUACGGCUGGCAAGGGCCGCGAGGGCUUCGCGGCCCUCGCUUGGCCUCGCCCAGAUCUGGGCGAGGCCGGCCUUCCCUUGGCCUUGCCGUGGGCGAUGGUCGCCUUCAUCCGCGGCAAGGCCAGGGCGAGGCUGAGCGAGGGCCGCGAAGCCCUUGCCAGCCACCGGGGAGGGUUGCGGCCCUCACUUGGCCUCGCCCAGGGCCACGGGCGAGGCGGCUUUGCUCAAAUCUAGGCCAGGCCAGCCUCGCCCUGGCCUUGCCACGGGCGAUGGCCACCUUUGCCCACGGCAAGGCCUGCGAGGGCCGCGUUGGCCUCAUCGGCCAUGGGCAAGGCCACCUUCGCCCACGGCAAGGCUAGGGUGAGGCCAGCCUUGCCUUGGCCGUGGUCGGGCCCUUGCCUAUGGCUGGCAAGGCCAAGGCAAGGCUGGCCUUGCCUAAAUCUAGGCGAAGCUGCCUUGUUGAUGGUCCUGGGAGAGGCCGGGCUAGUCCAAGGAGGAAGAAGGAAGAAAAGAAAAGGAAAAAGAAAAGAAAAAGAAAAAAAGGAAAAGAAAUAGGAAAAAAUUCAAAAAAAUAUUUAAAAAAAUUGCCACGUUAGUGUCUGGUCACGGGCCAAUGUCCACGUUAGCGUCAGCACGCCAAAAUUGGCCGGAUGGACUGAAUUGGUACCGAUGUAAAAAAGUUUAGGACUAAAUUGAUUCAAUUGAAAAAUUUAUAACUGAAUUGAUACUAAUGUAAUAGGUUUAGGACUUUUUUGGUACUUUUCUCCCAUCGGAAUGCUGCUGGUGGUUGGCUCGUCGUGGAGGUUAUUCAUGUUGCGGAGAUGAGGGAGAAGGGAAGGUUCAUUCCGAUGGCUGCUUGGCACAAUAAAACCCUGGAGUUACUUCAAAUGGAAGGACAAACUGAUCGAUGAAAAGGGGUUUGGCGAAAGCGAAGGUCUUCCUAAAGAUAAAAAGUCUCAGACUGUUUGAAGGCAGGAGCUCAGUCACUGAUGGGCAACGGCGAAUGUGUCAUUGGCGCACGCAGUGUCUUACCCAAAAACGCUAGAGUUGGGGAAAGCUUUGGAGAAGAAAAUUUUCCGCCUGAGCAUUUUAGUCCGUUCUGUCUGAUCUGAUCAAAUUAGGCUUACAAAGAUAUCAAGUCUGUUUAUCGAGACUUAAUACGAACUCAAUCGUACUUGAUGGUGUUCAGAAUCAAACCUCUGUCCCUCCCAGUGUGGCUUUACAAAACUAAUCGAUGAAUAUGAGUCGUUAAAACAUGAUUAAAUGGACUAAAAGAGUCACGUUUUUUUUUUUUUUUAAGUAUUAUUUAUAGAUGAAUAGGUAGGUCUUACUCGCUUAUAAGACGAACAUAGUUAAAGAUGAUAACCGAUACUCUAAACUAUGUACUUUGUGCAUCUGUUGAUAUUCAACCAAGUCGUGAUUUCCAGCCUUACUCUUCACGACAAACUGAGAAAUGAUAACGCUUAAUUUUAUAUAAAUUUAAAAAAGAAGGAGAAUUAAGAUCCACUUGACAGAGUUAAUGCUUGAUGGACAUUAAUAAGGUUUAAAUUAUAGGGUUAAGUGGGAAUUUGAUUCCACACCAAUCUACUCAGACAUAUCUUGAUAAUUUGUUAACCAAAAGAGGCCGACUUGGAAAGUAGAUUCAAAUUGGAAGGGACAAUUGGUUCUCAACACGUGUCCUAAAUACUUUAAGCCCUCCUUCGGACUUGAAAAGAUUGUUUAGGAUUCAUCAAUAGACUAGAAGGUUGUCCAAAUCAAGGACGGGCGGUGACCGAGGAAGUUGUGCCUGCGGCUUCAUCCCUUGACAGAAUGUGUUUGUACAAGCGUCGAAAUCAGGCAAAGGAGAAAAGAAGAAGAAUAUAAUCUAAGGUUUGGCAGUUGUAGCUAUGCUUUAUACUAUACCUGCAAUGAUAUGGAAGGUACUGUUCUUAGCAUUAAAAGAUCACCGUGCUAACGAAACUUGAACGACAAGAAGAGGUGGGCACGAUUCCAUACGACUUCAUUAUCUAUCCACAGUCCCAAUUUGUCAAAAGUUUGGCUCCCGAACCAUUUUUCGAGAUCAUUUGCGGACGAGAAAGGCCUUCUUAAUCUCUCUCUCUAAAUACCUAGUUAUUGAAGUCUACUAGUCAUUAUAAUUGAUGGAAUAAGCUCCAUCAGACUUGCUGCGAUUCAACUGACCUCACUGGAAAUAUGUCAUCGGGCCAAUAAAACGCGGGUACUAGGAGCCUUCCUUUAUUCCUUCCGCAUUUCCGUGGCACUAUCCAUGAGCUCUAUAUAAACUGAUCUUGGCCUUCAAACUCGAACACAAGAAAGAAACCAAUCCAAAGCCCACGCAUAAGUUUCUAGUUUAACUCACUCUCCUUCUACUAUCUCACCCGCAAAUGGCACCUCAUGCCAAUCGUCUCGCCGAUAUCGGAAGGGAGGGUUUUGCUCUAGUGGACAGAUUUUAUGGUGAAGGGACAUCGGGUCCAGUACCAAAGAAGCAAUACAAAGUCCCAAAGCAGUAUGCUUCUGUUCCCAGUGACAAGAACGCAAUCGAUAGCAAGAAGGCCGCCGAAAAGUACAAAGGAACGGUGGUCACGAAGUACUACAAGAAGUUUAUUGGCUGGCGUUUCUAGGUUCUAGCACUGUAAACGUGUAAUGGUUCGAGUGACUUCCUAGAAGGUAGAGGUAACCGGAUGAAUAAGUCAUUGUCGUGGUUUUCACGGUUUUCCUCAGUCACUUCGAACUCUAGUACUGUGUUUAUGUAUAUCUUUUGUUUUUCAGCUUUCUGAAGUUUAAUUGUAUGCUUGGACAUGUCUAAGCUUUUAAUUGGACCCAUUUUACACUAUAUUCGACUUUUUAUUCCUCUCCUUGAUAAAAUUUAUCUCAAAUCUAUGGUAUACUCGGACACUGACCGGUAUGAAAAGAGGACUUCAAUCGUUUUCAAAGUGAAUGACCACAACUUAAAGAACUCGCCAAUUUUCUGCUCCAAGGACUGUCCAAGGACUAGCAGGCCAUUGGACACUCUGGUUCUAUUGCUGACUUGCUGCUGCAUGAUUGAAUUCAUAAUCUUGAGUAAUAUUUUCUAAGGACUCGCCAAAGAUGAACCAUCCAAUUACGCAAUAUACGGUAGUAAAUCCAGCUGGCGCUUGCAACAUAUAACUACACAGAUGGACCAUUCUUUGACUUUUUUGGUGCAAUUGCAUUCUUUCUCUUGUCUAGGAAGCUAAACUAUUUUCUAGGAUCAAAUAUCACUACUAUUGUAGUGGAAAAAUAUGUCCAAUAACUUCCUAGAUAUGUCACGAAUUAUUCACCUCUUAUUCAUAAAUUACAAGCAGCGAGCAUAAAAUAUUAGGGAUCUGCAUACUAACAAGCACAAGUUAUUUUCUUUUCUUUCUUGGAUGAAAGCGUGAAUAGUGAAUCUAAGUUCUUCAUCUAAACCAAAAGAACGACAAGAAUGAACGAAGGGGAACAGCUGAUGCACCACAUAUCAGGUUAACUCCAGGGGGUUCCUCAACUCAAAUAUGCAAAGAUCACUGAUCUCUAAGGCUCCAUCCACUUUUGACCAAAAAGGUUGAAUUUCUGAACCAUUUUGAGGGCUUUUGGCGAAGUGUCUUCAAUCUGUUGGUACCCCGGGCUGGGUAAAGAUGAAGUAUGUGGCUCUUUGGCGGAGAAGUUGACUUCUCCAAGAGAGAAUCAUAUGACUGGAAGGCCGUGAAAAAAUAAUCUUGAAACACUGAGCAAAAUUCCACCUAGAGACUAUCAAUGUGGUGAACCAAUAUUGUUAUUGCAGGCAUGCCAAACCACUUUUCGAUCCCUCCAAAACCACCAAAGAUCUUAAAGUCUAUAACCGGAGGUACGAUUGCUGGCAGUCAGUUUUAGACUUUACCAUUAAAGGUAGCCAGGUCGGAGCAGGCCUUGUGUAACACCCUCGAUUCCAACCCUGUGAAGAUCGGCCAUAAAGUCUUGAAUGGAUCGACCAUGAGCCAAUGGCUAUGGGAUCGACUGGUUUGAUCGGUAAGGAAUCAAUGAUUGGUCAUGGUCCAAUCGACAGAUCGACCGGCCAAGAAUUGGUCGAGAUGUCGGCCAUGAAUUGUCUAAUGACCAUACCGAUGGAAUAGGAUCACCAACUCAUAAGAUGAAUUUUUGAUAACGAGGACUAGUCACAAGGUGAUUUUGGAUCAGCGGAUGAUCAUGGGUCGAUCCGAUUGAUUGUAAUGCCCGGCCGUGAGUGAUUCUGCCCGACUAUGCAUUGAUACACAGACGAUGCGACUUUAUAAAUGUGAUUGUCUUCCAACAAAAAAUGCAUAAUUCCCUAUUUAAUUCUUAGUGAUCGGAAAUGAAUCUUAAAUUAGUGAUGUAUGAUCGUGGAUCGGUAAUGUGUUGACCAUGAACCAUACAGAUGGAUCGGAUGUCGACUGGAAUGAGCUCAGGGAUAGACUUGGCUAUUUCAUCACUAAUUUUAAAGUCCAUGAGUGCGUUGGCUUAGUGCUAGGCCAUGGCCAGCCUUAAGAUUAGCCUUGAAUCGAUUGAAAAACAACUGACCCUUUAGGCCGACUGAUCGUCUAAGGGAAUGGUUUGGUCGAGCAUUGGACACAAUUGUUGAACCUCGGGUGUAUGUGAUUCAGUUUUUCGAGGUGUAUCUAAUGAUCUUUUUCUCAGCUUCGAAAUUAACUUAGACGAUGGAAUUCUCUAGACCACAUUCUUGAUGAAGAAAAGGACAAAAUUGAAGAAAACUCCAGACACCCUCAUUAAUGAAGGAGGUGAUGUAUUUUUUGACUUUUCAAAAGUAACGAUGAGGUUGAGGAUUUUCUUGAUGGGCAAGAAAAAGAUGGCAUACACAUGGACCAAUCGGAGAGCGAUACAUGAACUCCUCAUUAAUGAUUGAAGAAUCUAGAUGCCAAGUUGGCAACUUUGAUGGCAUUAUAUCCAAACUUCAUUAAUUGCUCGUUAAAUGUGGGGUACAAGUGGUCCAAUGAAAUGGUGAAAAGUGAGCCAUCAUCGAUGAUGCUUGCAAGCCAAAUUUGUUAAGUGUGACCUUUUAGGAAUCCAACUCAUUCCUUAGGCACAAUAAUUAGACAAAUAGACUUGCCAACUAAGGAUCUUAGGUGGGACACUUGGAAAAUUGAGAAUGGACCAUUUAGCUCGGUAAUGAUGGCGCCGAGUAGUAUAAAUGGGAGGACCCCUCCUCAUUUUUCACCAUGCCAUUCACUUUCUCCUUUACUCCUCCAUUUUCUUUCUCUAGGCCUUGCAUCCUCAAUCCCUGAAGCUAAUUUAAGUUAGUCUUCAAGGUUCGCUAAGGUAAGUAAGAUUGCUAUUUUUUCUCUAAGAAGUAGAUCCCAUUGUUGAGACUAGUUAAGUGCUCACCCAUGAAGCCAUGGGUAGUGUACAAUGUCUUUUGUUGAUCUUGCUUGCUAUAGGACAUGGCCGUGUGAUUGAGUCAUUUAUGUCCGGAAUGAAACUGAGGUUCGAUUGGAUUGAGUUCAUCACAAGACAAAGUCGCCAAGCCAUAAAGCCUUGGUUUUGGCAUGGAUAAGAUGCCGAGUCCAAGUCUCACUUGGUGUGGAAAUCGCCCAAGACUGCAAGGUCCUAAAUCGACAUUGAGACAUGUCAAUUUUAUGCCUUGAUCGAUAUGGAGAUCGUCCAAAUCCACGAGGUCUUGGUAAGGCACCAAAGCAUGCCGAUUUCCAUAGUUCAAAUGGACGUGGGGCCAUUGUGCUUGGCGUUGGAUCAAACUAAGAGCUGAGGGUCAUUCACGAUACAUGUGUAUUUACAUUGGGUCAAAGCUGAGGUCCAUCAAGCUUGGGAUCGUCACUUAAGCAAGGUGUACCAAAGCCUCAAGGUCUUGAAUCGGUAUUGAGGCAUACUGUUUCCAAGCCUUGUUCGGUGUGGGGAUCGACGCUAAGUGAUUGAUUCAAGUUACGGAUCAAAGACCAUUCCCGACAUAUUUGCUAGUGAAGUAUAGGAAAUUCAUGAAUGAGCACACCUUCAGGUCAUGCAUGUGUCAGAUAAGAGAAAAGAUAAGAACUGACUUGUAUGAUGCAUUUAUGCAUGUACUUAAAGAGAAAAAGUGCCCGUCACCACACGGCGUUGGCGGCGAUGCAUUGUUAAUUGAAUGAGAUGCCUCGAUUGAGUUAGGAUGUCCUGGUUGAGUCAGGAUGCCUGGGUCUUGAACCCAGAAGCCUUGAGAAGCUAGCAUCGAGAAGUCUUGGUCGAGUCAAGAUGCCCUGGUUGAGCCGGGAAGUCUAGCUAAAAGCUGGAAGCCCCGGUCGAGCUGGGAGGGCUUGAUUGAGCCAGGACGAUGCUAAAUGAAUUUGCAUAAGUGCCGGUAUAUGCAUAAGUAUAAUAUGUUGAUAUAUUUAUUGAUAAGCCAAAUGUAAGUAUGCAUUGAAGCAUGUUGCGAUGGACAUUUGCAUGUAGUCAAGGGUAGCAACAAUUUUGCUAUUGAUGUACCAUCAAUAUUGUUUGCGAGUGUUGUACUUACUAAGCUUCGAUGAUGAGAUGCUUUCCUAGUAGAGAACUAGGAAUUUUACUUACUAAGUUUCCCCAAAACUCACUCCUUUAUCUUUCAGUUUUGUAAGCAUGAAAGUCUUAUGUUAGUGUUGAGAGCUGCAAUCAUGCUAGAAGAGAUAGGAAUUCUCUUGGCCAAAUGGAAAACUUAUUGUGUGAUGCAAAAAGAAGAGAGGGCCCGUAAAGAAAUGGUUUGUAAAAGUAUUAUUAUAAUAUAAAUCAGUGUGUUUUGUGUGAUGUAUGUCCCACUCUUCCAGCUAUUGUUUGUUUGGGGAGUCAUUUGUUUACGUUUUCACAUGUGCAUGAUAACAAGAUAAAAAGAAUUGGAACAGCGACAAGCUUGGGACGUCGUGAAAAUAACCCUUGUUGGAGUUGGGAUUGUGACACCUUGCACUUGCCCUCACUCACUUUAGGCAUGGGUGGCUACUAUACCAGCCUAUCCUGCGGUAGCCAAGACCGAAAUAUCGACAUGGAGUCUAUCUUCCCCAUCAUGAGGCCUCCUAAUCCCACCUCUAAUUUUGUCUUCCUGAGGUGGAGGGAAUAGGGGGUGACAUUGCGGGUCUCCCACCCCUAAGCGGUUCUCCCACCUGUUUCUUUCCCAUGAGCCUUUUAAGGACUUGCUCAGGUUCAUAAUUCGAGAAAUUAUAAGUACCAAAAGAAGUUAUUUAGUUGUCGGUCGCUCUUCUCCUUGCAUGAAGACCGGAGGAUUUUUUUUUUUUUUUGGAUGAAUUGGGCUGCUAGACAUGUCACAACACAAACUUUGUUACAUCAAUUUGCUCAAUUUGGAUUGUGGCCAUUAUUAUAUGUUCGGUUCACAAACAAGCAGCAUUGAUGCUACGUAUAGAAGGAUUGUACCUCUCAAUUCCUAUGAGCAGAUGCAUUACAAGACUACACUGCUAAGAAAACUUAUUGAGAUCCCUUGGAUAAACGAAAUCACGUUGAAGGUGCAAAGUUUAUCAGUAAUUAAGCGAUUGGACAACCGCUUUGAAAAACUAGUAAAAGUUCAAUUAAAAUCGAUAUAUCAUGCAAUAGGAGCCUAGAUUGGAAUCCGAGUGGACAAGUAUGUUCUAUCUGAUAACUGCUUUUGUUAGUUUGAUAAGAAACGGACUUGCGAAUUAGGCAGGAACCAUUCUUUUACAUUUUCUGUUACUUAAACUAACCUUUAGGACUGUUUCUGGCACUUAACAAACAAAUAAAAAUAAAAUAUAUUGCACACUCUGUGGAAGCCCUCAGGCAGCUCGGCGAGCACGUUGCAGAGGUUGGUCAUGUUGCACGAGUGAGAAGGGAAUUCCGGUGGUUGCUAUGGAAGGAGUAACUGAUCAGUGAAGAUGGAUACUGUGAAAUUGGGUAGGGGGGGGGGUACUUAUGCCAACUAAUUUGUAUUUGAUGGUGUAGAGAAUCGAAUCUCUAUCUCUCGUGUUGUUGCUUCACAAACUAAUGAUUGAAUCAAGUCGUGAGAACACGUUUAAAUGGGAUGAAAGCUUUAUUAUUUUUCUCGUAUCAUCAAUAAAUGAAUGGAGAGGUCUUACUCAUUUAUAAAGCAAACGCGAUUAAAGUGGUGCUCUAAAUUAUGUAUUUCACGUAUGUAUUGAUAUUUAACCAAGUCAUGAUAUCUAGCUUUACUUUCCAUGUUAAAUAAAGAAAGGAUCGUGCUUAUAUAUAUAAAAAGAAAGCCAAAAAGAAGGAGAAUUAGGAUCCACCCAAAAGAUUAGAUGCUUGAUGGAGACUAAUUAAGAUUUAAAUGAUAGGUUUUGGUGGGAAAAUGAUUGAGCACUUCGGCUUGGAAGGGACAAUUGGUUCCCAUCACAUUUCUAAUACUUUAAGCCCACCUUUCGGACUUGACGAGAUCAUUUAGGAUUCAUCGGCAUGAUUACAAGGUUGUUCCCUAUAGUGUCUCAAAUUCUGCCUGUCCAUACAUGUGUCCAACUCAAGGAAAGGAGGAAAAAGAGAAGAAUCUGUUGGUGAUCGAGGAAGGUGUGGUUGUGGCUUCAUCCCUUGCAAGACUGUGAAUCAUCCCUUGCCAGACGCUGUUUUUACAUGUGUUUAAAUCAGACAAAGGGAAAAAGUAGAAGAAUAUAUCUUUUCGGUCAGAAAAUUGCAGCUUUCCUUGAUAUUUUGGACUAUAAUAUGCAAUGAUUGUGGUAGGUUCUAUCUUAGCAUAAAAAGAUCAUGAUGCCAAUGAAACUUGAACUACACGAAAGAUGGGGCAAUGAUUCCAAUCCACUUCAUUAUUUGCUCAUAUUCACAACUUGUCACGAAGUUUAGAUCCGAAACAAUUCUUGGAAUCAUUGGCGGCCGAAAAAAGUUUUCUUAAUCUCUCUCUAAGUAACUAUUUAAUGAAGCUUACUCGGGUUUAUAAUUGAUGGAAUAAACUCAGACUUACUCCAAUUUUAGCAAUGUCACUGGAAAUAUGUCAAUCGAGCAAAAUAUGUCAUCUAAUCCACAAAAACUCCAGUAAUUAGCAUCACCGAUGAGAAGGUGGAAGGAAUUGACCUUCUACAAUAGGGGAAUACCAAGAAUGCAUAGACCAAGUGAAUGCCAUCUUUUGAAGUGACAAAUGCUAAAAGUUCUUGAAAAAUGAAAGCUUAAGAAUUCUAGAACUUCAUCUCUAUAUUUUUAGGAACCAAGUAGCAUUUUCUGUGAUAAGUACCAAAAAAUCCCAAACUUAUAGCAUUAGUAAUAAUUCACUUAUAAACUUUUCAAUUAGACCAAUCUAGUCUUAAAUUUUUUCACAUUUGUACCAAUUUAGUCAUUUCAACUAAUUUUGGUUAGUCGAUACUAAUAUAGACGUUGGCCAGUGGUCAACGUUGACAUGGACGCCGACGGGUGCUAAUGCUGAUAUGGCAAUUUUAAAAUAAUUUUUACUUUUUUUCCAAAUUUUUUAUUGAUUUGUUUUUCUCUUUUUCCUUUUCCUUUUAUUUUUUUUCUCCUCUUCCUCCUCGGGCUUCUUCUCCAUGUAGUGGUUGGACGAGGGCGUGCCCAAAUCCGGGUGAAGUUGCCUUGCCCAAUGCCCGCGACCCUAGGCGAGAUCAGGCAAGGGCCAUGACUCUCAUCUAGUGGUCGGCUAUUGUAGAGAGAAGAAACCUAAGGAGGAAGAAGAGAAAAAAGAAAAAAGAAAAAAAAAAGGAAAAGGAAAAAGAAAAAAAAUUGAAAAAGAAAAAUAUUUUUUAAAUUGCCAUGUCAGCAUUGGCCGAAUAGCAUACUGGCUGGCAUUCACGUUAGAGCUAACUAGUAAAAAUUGACUAGAAAUACUGAAUUAGUGCUGAUGUAAAAAGAUUUAUGACUAAAUUGAUUUAAUUGAAAAGUUUAUAACUGAAUUGAUACAAAUGUCAUAAAUUUAUAACUUUUUUGAUACUUUUGCCUGCAUUUCCUAGCAAUCACCUUUUCCCUUCUUCUCUUCCAACCAAUUGGUCUAUCGUUGGGAGCCAUUAAACAUGGGGACCAAGUGCCUCACUUUAUACAUUCUCCAUUUGCUGGGCACUUUCCAUGACCUCUAUAUAAACUGAUCCUUGGCUUCAAACUUGAGCACAAGAAAGAAACCAAUCCGAAGCCCCCACUUAAGUUUCUAGUUUAGCUCACUCUACUCCUACUUACUCACCCUCAAAUGGCACCUCAUGCCAAUCGCCUCGCCGAUAUUGGAAGGGAGGGUUUCGCUCUAGUGAACAGAUUUUAUGGUAGAGGGACAUCAGGUCAAGCACCAAAGAGGCAAUACGAUGUCCCAAAAAAGUAUUCUCCCGUUCCUAGCGACGAGAGGGAAAUCGAUUGCAAGAAGGCCGCCAAAAAAUACAAUGGAAUGGUGGUCACCAAGUACUAAACAAGAAGUUUGUCGGCUGGCGUUUCUAGGUUCUAGCGCUGUAAACAUGUAAAGGUUCGAGUUAACUUCCUAGAAGGUAAAGGUAAACUGGAUGAAUGUGUCCUUGUCACGGUUUUCACCAUGUUAGUCGUUUCGAACUCUAGUAAUGGGUCCUUGUCACUGCUCUAUAACCGUUUGUUUUUCAGCUUUCUGGAGUUUACUCGUAUGCUCGGAUGUGUCUAAGCUAGUAAUUGGACCUAUUUUAUACUAAACAUUCCGCCUUUUAUUCCUCUUUUUGGCAAAAUUUAUGGCGAUCUAUGGUAUAACUGUUCACUUCAUUGGCA